rnacentral:rRNA from 1 species
GAUGAACGCUGACAGAAUGCUUAACACAUGCAAGUCGACUGGGUGGCGGACGGGUGAGUAACGCGUGAAGAACUUGCCUCACAGCUAGGGACAACAUUUAGAAAUGAAUGCUAAUACCUGAUACUGUGAGAGAGCUUUGCGUCCCAUUGGCUAGUUGGCGAGGUAACAGCUCAACAAGGCGAUGAUGGGUAGCCGGCCUGCGAGGGUGAACGGCCACAAGGGGACUGACACACGGCCCUUACUCCUACGGGAGGCAGCAGAGGGGAAUAGUGGACAAUGGACCGAAGUCUGAUCCGGCAAUUCUGUGUUCACGAUGAAGUUUUUCGGAAUGUAAAGUGCUUUCAGUUGGGAAGCGGUACCAACAGAAGAAGUGACGGCUAAAUACGUGCCAGCAGCCGCGGUAAUUC